GCCUCACCAAUUCUCCUACAGUUCUCUUCCCCAUCCUGGGGCCCACUAAACGGGAAGCUCAAACCGGGUCGACCGGGGUCCAAACCAGUCAAAUUACAAAGGAAAAUCGGCGGGCACCUGGUACGCGAGAAUUUCGAAGCCUGCAUCACCGGCGGGUGGAUAAUGGCUAACUUAAUAUCGCAACUCCGAAACCCGGCGUCGCCAAACACCCGACUCACAAUCGGAUCAUCCAAAAUGGAUAAAAG
rnacentral:misc_RNA from 1 species